UACGUAGGGUGCGAGCGUUAAUCGGAAUUACUGGGCGUAAAGCGUGCGCAGGCGGUUUUGCAAGCCGGAUGUGAAAUCCCCGGGCUCAACCUGGGAAUGGCAUUUGGGACUGCAGGGCUCGAGUGCGGCAGAGGAGACUGGAAUUCCUGGUGUAGCAGUGAAAUGCGUAGAUAUCAGGAGGAAUACCGAUGGCGAAGGCAGGUCUCUGGGCUGACACUGACGCUCAUGCACGAAAGCGUGGGGAGCAAACAGG
rnacentral:rRNA from 1 species